AGCUCACUGUACACGACACAGGGCAAAGGAAAUCCGUGUUCAGCAACUAUGUUAAAUGCCUUGUACGUAAAUUUUACAACGCUACUCGUUCGAAGCGCGCACAGGUGCAUAUUGAAGAAAAGUUUCCAGGGUAGAUAAUUUAGUUCGUAAUUUACACUAAUUUUGCUCUAACCACGAGACAUAAUAAUUUGAAUAUACUGCACGGAAAAACCUAGAGCAAAUUAAAUUGUGUGUCAGCUUCGUGUGUAUACAUAUAGUCUUUCCUAUGCAUUAGGUUUUUUGCAUAAUGCAUUAACAGUUGACAGCCUAUCUUAUGAUGUGUACUCUAUUUACAUUACAGUUGUUUAUUAGUUUACUCGUUUGUUUUGCGACUGAUGAAAUGCCGGCAUAUAUAUAUUUUCAACAUUUGACAUAACCCUGUAUGUUUUGCAUGGACAACCCAGGACGUGCAUUUCUCAGCACCCAGUCAACUGCCAAAAGUGACUCAAACACAGGCCACCAGUGGAACUCGGCUGUACCACUGCAGUGCUGCGGAAAUUGCCUUCACCAGCGGCUUUGCAACAGCUGUUUCGCAGCAUGUCGGAAACAAUGCCUACGGAAUUAUUGGCCCUGAUCAUGAGAGCCCUCAAGGGGCAAACAACAUCUCUGUUGCAGAAGUGAGCCCGAUACCACUUGGAAGUUACCAUGACAGAUGACACGGCAGCAAUAGAUACAGAGACUGCCAUGUCUACUGCAGCUGCAACAGUGUACGAGGCAAGCAGCAGCGCGUCAGCAUCAGCAGCAGUGUCAGAAGGAACCACACCAGGACUGGUAGAGCAACAUGUGUGCUAUCACUGACUUUUUUUGUAGUGGAUACAACUCAUUUGCUCAACAUACAAAAGCUUUUCACCACGACUGUGAGCCAGUGUUAUUGUGCAGCAAGUGCAAGACUAAGUUAGGUGUUAUAACACAGUACAAGCAUCACUUUAAUAUAUGCAAAUGCAAACAUAUUACAGUUGUUGCCUCCCCAGCCAGCCCACAUAGUGACAACAAUGUGGAACACAUGGUGGGACACACCUCUCCCCCAUUACAAGAUAGUAGAGACUGUCAGUGUUGUUGCUAGAUUGACUGGUCUUUGUAGGCAACUAGAAAGACAACACAGGUGUCAUAAGAUUGCUGUUG